GAAAUGCGAUAAGUAGUGUGAAUUGCAGAAUUCAGUGAAUCAUCGAAUCUUUGAACGCACAUUGCGCCCCUUGGUACUCCAUGGGGCAUGCCUGUUCGAGCGUCAUUUACACCCUCAAGCUCAGCUUGGUGUUGGGCGUCUGUCCCGCUUCGUGCGCGGACUCGCCUCAAAUGCAUUGGCAGCGGUCUUGCCAGCUUCUCGCGCAGCACAUUGCGCUUCUAGAGGCUUUGGCGGAUCGGCGUCCAUCAAGUACACCCACAGUUUGACCUCGGAUCAGGUAGGGAUACCCGCUGAACUUAA
rnacentral:misc_RNA from 1 species